rnacentral:rRNA from 1 species
GCGGCAGGCCUAACACAUGCAAGUCGAACGGUAACAGGAAGCAGCUUGCUUUUUUGCUGACGAGUGGCGGACGGGUGAGUAAUGUCUGGGAAACUGCCUGAUGGAGGGGGAUAACUACUGGAAACGGUAGCUAAUACCGCAUAACGUCGCAAGACCAAAGAGGGGGACCUUCGGGCCUCUUGCCAUCGGAUGUGCCCAGAUGGGAUUAGCUAGUAGGUGGGGUAACGGCUCACCUAGGCGACGAUCCCUAGCUGGUCUGAGAGGAUGACCAGCCACACUGGAACUGAGACACGGUCCAGACUCCUACGGGAGGCAGCAGUGGGGAAUAUUGCACAAUGGGCGCAAGCCUGAUGCAGCCAUGCCGCGUGUAUGAAGAAGGCCUUCGGGUUGUAAAGUACUUUCAGCGGGGAGGAAGGGAGUAAAGUUA